UCGGGAAUUUUGGGCAAUGGGCGAAAGCCUGACCCAGCAACGCCGCGUGAGGGAUGAAGUAUUUCGGUAUGUAAACCUCGAAAGAAUGGGAAGAAUAAAUGACGGUACCAUUUAUAAGCUCCGGCUAACUACGUGCCAGCAGCCGCGGUAAUACGUAGGGAGCAAGCGUUGUUCGGAUUUACUGGGCGUAAAGGGCGCGUAGGCGGCGCGGUAAGUCACUUGUGAAAUCUCUGAGCUUAACUCAGAACGGCCAAGUGAUACUGCUGUGCUAGAGUGCGGAAGAGGCAACCGGAAUUCUUGGUGUAGCGGUGAAACGCGUAGAUAUCAAGAGGAACACCUGAGGCGAAGGCGGGUUGCUGGGCCGACACUGACGCUGAUGCGCGAAAGCCAGGGGAGUAAACG
rnacentral:rRNA from 1 species